CGACGACGCGAGAUCAGCCGGCACUCUUCUUCUUUUUUUUUCUUCUUGGGCCAACACGUUGUGUAAUCUCGUUCCCAGACAACGACGGGAGAGCGACGAGUCGUCGUCGGUUUACUCGUCCUUAUCAUUUCUCCCCUUAUCCAGCUCUCCUCCGUGUCUCCUUCGCACGCGGAUAAGUCUAUACGCUGCGCGAAACGUGCGCGAAAGUUUGAAGCAAGCAGCUUGAAGGCAGGAGGAUGCAAAUGGGAGAGAAGAUGAAGAGAGAAGGUUGCUUGACGUUUUCAACGACGACGUUCCGAGCGAUCGCGGGCCCCGGCAAGAUUCUUCGGCCCAUCGUCCUACUCAUCUCAAAUGGAUAUCAAAUAUGUAUUUAAUACCGCGCAGAGUUUUAGACAUAUGUUAGAUAUAAUGGAAAUUGGAAACAUAGCUGUAUAAUGGAAUAGAUGUUUUAAAUAAUAAUUUUUGCAAUGUAAAGGUCACUUUAGACCUUAUGUACAUUUGUAUCAGAUUCCAGGGUAGAAUUUGUUUCAUAAUUUUAUAUGUCGAGUGUUUUGACAUACAUUUUAUACAUGUGUUUAUUUCUUAUCAUGGGCCGGUUGUUCUAUCUUCGGACAAAUUAUAAUUUAUCUAAUGGAAAAAUGUCCGAUAUAUAGCAUAUGCUCUACAAAUAUUUAUCCAUUAGAUAAAUUACACAUAGUUUAUCCGAAGGUAGAACAAUCAUCCUAAAUGUUUUCCCGCGUACUAUAUACGUAUAAAAUUCUCUCUCUCUCUUUCUCUUUCAAAUCAAUCUUUCAUGACAAAGAUGAUCACAAUUUGAUGCAUGCUCCAUGAUGGACUGUCUUGACAAUAAGAUACUUUCGGUGAUUUGCCUUCCAAGUAAAACAAAAUAAAAUAAAAAAUUAAAUUGAAAA